UACGGAGGGUGCAAGCGUUGUUCGGAAUUAUUGGGCGUAAAGCGCGUGUAGGCGGUUUUUUAAGUCUGAUGUGAAAGCCCCGGGCUCAACCUGGGAAGUGCAUUGGAUACUGGAAGACUUGAGUACGGGAGAGGGUAGUGGAAUUCCUAGUGUAGGAGUGAAAUCCGUAGAUAUUAGGAGGAACACCGGUGGCGAAGGCGGCUGCCUGGACCGAUACUGACGCUGAGACGCGAAAGCGUGGGGAGCAAACAGG
rnacentral:rRNA from 1 species